rnacentral:rRNA from 1 species
GACAGAGGGUGCAAACGUUGUUCGGAAUUACUGGGCGUAAAGCGCGUGUAGGCGGCCCUGCAAGUCGGAUGUGAAAUCCCACGGCUCAACCGUGGAAGUGCAUUCGAAACUGCAGGGCUAGAGUCCUGGAGAGGAAGGUGGAAUGCUUGGUGUAGAGGUGAAAUUCGUAGAUAUCAAGCGGAACACCGGUGGCGAAGGCGGGUUGCUGGGCUGACACUGGCGCUGAGGCGCGAAAGCCAGGGGAGCGAACGGG